UACGUAGGGUGCGAGCGUUAAUCGGAAUUACUGGGCGUAAAGCGUGCGUAGGCGGUUCGCUGUGUCCGAUGUGAAAGCCCCGGGCUCAACCUGGGAAUGGCAUUGAGGACUGUGGAGCUAGAGUGCGGCAGAGGGAGGUGGAAUUCCACGUGUAGCAGUGAAAUGCGUAGAGAUGUGGAGGAACACCGAUGGCGAAGGCAGCCUCCUGGGCCGACACUGACGCUGAGGGCACGAAAGCGUGGGGAGCAAACAGG
rnacentral:rRNA from 1 species